rnacentral:rRNA from 1 species
CUGGUCGGAAAGGCGACUCUCUGGUCUGUAACUGACGCUGAGGAGCGAAAGCGUGGGGAGCGAACAGGAUUAGAUACCCUGGUAGUCCACGCCGUAAACGAUGAGUGCUAAGUGUUAGGGGGUUUCCGCCCCUUAGUGCUGCAGCUAACGCAUUAAGCACUCCGCCUGGGGAGUACGGUCGCAAGACUGAAACUCAAAGGAAUUGACGGGGGCCCGCACAAGCGGUGGAGCAUGUGGUUUAAUUCGAAGCAACGCGAAGAACCUUACCAGGUCUUGACAUCCUCUGACAAUCCUAGAGAUAGGACGUCCCCUUCGGGGGCAGAGUGACAGGUGGUGCAUGGUUGUCGUCAGCUCGUGUCGUGAGAUGUUGGGUUAAGUCCCGCAACGAGCGCAACCCUUGAUCUUAGUUGCCAGCAUUCAGUUGGGCACUCUAAGGUGACUGCCGGUGACAAACCGGAGGAAGGUGGGGAUGACGUCAAAUCAUCAUGCCCCUUAUGACCUGGGCUACACACGUGCUACAAUGGACAGAACAAAGGGCAGCGAGCCGCCAGGUUAAGCCAAUCCCACAAAUCUGUUCUCAGUUCGGAUCACAGUCUGCAACUCGACUGCGUGAAGCUGGAAUCGCUAGUAAUCGCGGAUCAACAUGCCGCGGUGAAUACGUUCCCGGGGCGUGUACACAGAGCCCGUCACACAACGAAAAUUAAGAUACGCGCGGU